AUCUGCAACAAUAGGCCGUGCUAAAAGAAAAAAAGUCUCUCGCAUGGGACAGUUGUGGCAGGAGUCCCCAAGUAUUUACAGCAUGGACACCCUGACUGGUCUCCAUAAAGAAUGGACAGAGCAUGAGUGACGUGACCCACAGAUUUCCGGAGCAGGUCGUGUUCCAGCGCUGAGAGAACCAGAACAUUAAAGACAUAAAACAGAAACAA